CAGCCCAUCUGCAACAGCCACACGCUCGGCAGAGUAAAUUUAGACAGCAAGCAAAAACCAACAAUCCACACUGGUGCUGGCCCUUUUUUUCUAACCCGCUCAACUGUUAACUGUGUUCUUUGCCCUGCCAUGCUAAUGCAUUUGGAUCAAAGCAGGCAUGAUACGAGGACGCCUAUAUGGGCCUCUUUCCAAAACCAACAGCAGCUCCCACAAUGCCAAGGGGCUUCCAUGGUCUUCCUCUUUUUCGGUGGGAAGAAAAUAAUAAUCCGGAAAUACCACCAGCUUCAAGGGACAGAAUGUCCAAAACAUGUAACAUGGCUGAGGCUGCUGAAUAUAAAUCCCUGUUAGCUAGUGGUUCCUGACAAUAACAAAUACCAGCACACAGAGGGGGAAAGGAGGAGAGAGCCGGACCAAAGGUGCAAAAUACCUCUGGAAGAAGUGCCAAACAACAUCUACGGUGGGUCCCAGAUACUGAGGUUUAGGUUUGGCCAAACUCACAUGCCUUCAGAAGGAACUGAAACCACUGGAACCCAUUUUUGACCAAUCAACUUUCAAAAUCUCCUAUAAUAAAGGUAAAUUACUUGUAAAGCAAAUGUAUGUCCGUUUUCAGAUGAGUACAUGAUGUGGAAAUGUAUUUGGCAAUCAUCCUAAAUCUAAUGGUAUGAACAGAACCCUCAUCCACAACAACAGCCAACUGUGUUAAAUCUGGUGGAUAUAACAUUUACCAAGUAGAAUAACAUUACCAAUGACUACUGUGCUGUUCUCCAUAGUUCCCUCACUAUUCUGUAGCCAUUUACCCUGUGGCAACAUCUACAGCAACGUCAUAGAGAAAGAGAGGGACAGACACUCGACACCCUCUACCUGAGGAUCAGGGGAACUGUUUGAUACUUAACCCACGGGGGAUGUUCAUAGGGUCAAAGGGCAAAGGGUAGCAUUCCGCACGUUGGAACCGGAGCUGGGUGACCAGUGUCGCCCCCAUACACCCCCCACUCCCUUAUGACCCCCAAGGCCCACCCCGGGCAGACUGUCACUGACACCCCUCUAACAAAGAAAAGGAAUUUAUGGCCCUUGAUUGCCUUUAAAAAAAUUCUGGGCCCAGACAGGUGCUAAGCGAGAGAGUAAAUGUAUGUGUAUGUGUGUGGAAGGAGUGUGUGUAUGUGUGUGUGUGUGUGUGUGUGUGUGUGUGUG